rnacentral:misc_RNA from 1 species
UUGAUGGCGUGGGUGGGCAGGCUCCUUGCUCGUGCAUCGAACUGUCGGCGCUCCAUCCGCUUCAGUCUUACCCCAAGCGCAGCUCCUGGCUUGCGGGUGCAUAAGAUAUCCUGUGUUGCUUACCCACGAAAAGGAAUUCGACGGUUUUGCUGUCCCCAUCCGCCUUGUGCCCUUCGGGGUGCGGGGCGGACGCGAGGCGAGUUCCGUGUUCCCGGCGUGUCUGGCGCUUUGUCGCUUGGCCGCUGCGGCCCAUGGGGUUUCGGCCCGAGCUCUCGGAUGCGGAACGCUACGUGUGGGCGUGAGGUCUCGGCCUCUGCUCGUCCAAGCUACACGCAUUGUCCCUUGACACGAACGACCGCCGCGCYYGUCUUGAUCGGCCGACCGAGCCCCCGCCGCGGGGAUUCGGGAGGGCGGCUCAUGCGGGCGUCGGCGUCGGAGAGGAAUGC